rnacentral:rRNA from 1 species
UGAACUGNUAAGCUAGAGUGUGUCAGAGGGGGGUAGAAUUCCACGUGUAGCAGUGAAAUGCGUAGAGAUGUGGAGGAAUACCGAUGGCGAAGGCAGCCCCCUGGGAUAACACUGACGUUCAUGCUNGAAAGCGUGGGUAGCAAACAGGAUUAGAUACCCUGGUAGUCCACGCCCUAAACGAUGUCAAUUAGCUGUUGGGCGACUUGAUUGCUUAGUAGCGUAGCUAACGCGUGAAAUUGACCGCCUGGGGAGUACGGUCGCAAGAUUAAAACUCAAAGGAAUUGACGGGGACCCGCACAAGCGGUGGAUGAUGUGGAUUAAUUCGAUGCAACGCGAAGAACCUUACCUGGUCUUGACAUGUACGGAAUCUCUCAGAGACGGGAGAGUGCCUUCGGGAACCGUAACACAGGUGCUGCAUGGCUGUCGUCAGCUCGUGUCGUGAGAUGUUGGGUUAAGUCCCGCAACGAGCGCAACCCUUGUCAUUAGUUGCCAUCAUUAAGUUGGGCACUCUAAUGAGACUGCCGGUGACAAACCGGAGGAAGGUGGGGAUGACGUCAAGUCCUCAUGGCCCUUAUGACCAGGGCUUCACACGUCAUACAAUGGUCGGUACAGAGGGUCGCCAAGCCGCGAGGUGGAGCCAAUCUCACAAAACCGAUCGUAGUCCGGAUUGCACUCUGCAACUCGAGUGCAUGAAGUCGGAAUCGCUAGUAAUCGCAGGUCAGCAUACUGCGGUGAAUACGUUCCCGGGUUUUGUACACAUCGCCCGUCACACCAUGGGAGUGGGGGAUACCAGAAGUAGGUAGGA